rnacentral:rRNA from 1 species
UUAUGAGUUAGUGGCGCACGGGUGAGUAAUGUAUAGCUAAUCUGCCCUACACUAGAGGACAACAGUUGGAAACGACUGCUAAUACUCUAUACUCCUUCUUUACAUAAGUUAAGUCGGGAAAGUUUUUCGGUGUGGGAUGAGGCUAUAUCGUAUCAGCUAGUUGGUAGGGUAACGGCCUACCAAGGCUAUGACGCGUAACUGGUCUGAGAGGAUGAUCAGUCACACUGGAACUGAGACACGGUCCAGACUCC